rnacentral:rRNA from 1 species
UGGGGAAUCUUGGACAAUGGGGGAAACCCUGAUCCAGCCAUGCCGCGUGAGUGAAGAAGGCCUUAGGGUUGUAAAGCUCUUUCGCACGUGACGAUGAUGACGGUAACGUGAGAAGAAGCCCCGGCUAACUUCGUGCCAGCAGCCGCGGUAAUACGAAGGGGGCUAGCGUUGUUCGGAAUUACUGGGCGUAAAGCGCGCGUAGGCGGUUUUGUAAGUCAGGGGUGAAAUCCCGGGGCUCAACCCUGGAACUGCCUUUGAGACUGCAAGGCUUGAGAGCGGGAGAGGUGAGUGGAAUUCCCAGUGUAGAGGUGAAAUUCGUAGAUAUUGGGAAGAACACCGGUGGCGAAGGCGGCUCACUGGCCCGUUUCUGACGCUGAGGCGCGAAAGCGUGGGGAGCAAACAGG